GACGAACGCUGGCGGCGUGCUUAACACAUGCAAGUCGAACGAAGUGGAGAACGGGUGAGUAACGCGUAAUCAACCUGCCCUUCAGAGGGGGACAACAGUUGGAAACGACUGCUAAUACCGCAUACUGAAGGAGGGGCUUGCGUCUGAUUAGCUAGUUGGAGGGGUAACGGCCCACCAAGGCGAUGAUCAGUAGCCGGGAUGAGAGGAGGAACGGCCACAUUGGGACUGAGGCACGGCCCAGACUCCUACGGGAGGCAGCAGUGGGGAAGCUUCCGCAAUGGACGGAAGUCUUACGGAGCAACGCCGCGUUAGUGAUGACGGCCUUCGGGUUGUAAAGCUCUGUUAAUCGGGACGCGGUACCGGAAUAGAAAGCCACGGCUAACUACGUGCCAGCAGCCGCGGUAAUUC
rnacentral:rRNA from 1 species